CACAAAGUCUGGCCAACCGGGGCCCCGACCACGAAAAGUUGUCGGAACAUUCGUCACUGAAUACGCCAAGAGUUUAUGGACACUUCAAAGAGAGUUUUUUCCACGGCAAAUCAUUUCUAGGAACGGGACUCGCCAAACCUCGGGACCACGAAACUUCUCGAAAUUUAAAAUCCUCCUACGACUCGAAGCGUUCGCAAUAAGGAUAUUCAAAUCUCACCACCUGCUGAC
rnacentral:misc_RNA from 1 species